rnacentral:rRNA from 1 species
UAUCUCUGUAGAGUCUGCAUAUCAAUAAGCGGAGGAAAAGAAACUAACUAGGAUUCCCUCAGUAACGGCGAGUGAAGCGGGAAGAGCUCAAAUCUGAAAUCUUCAAGGUUUACCUUGACGAAUUGUAGUUUAAAGAAGUGUUUUCUGUUGGAGUUUUGGUAAAAGUUCUUUGGAAAUAGGACAUCAUAGAGGGUGAGAAUCCCGUAUUUGACCAUUAUUUCCAACUUUGUGAUACACUUUCAAAGAGUCGGAUUGUUUGGGAAUGCAGUCCAAAAUGGGUGGUAAAUUUCAUCUAAAGCUAAAUACUGGCGAGAGACCGAUAGCGAACAAGUACCGUGAGGGAAAGAUGAAAAGAACUUUGAAAAGAGAGUUAAACAGUACGUGAAAUUGUCAAAAGGGAAGCGUUUGACACCAGUGUUGUUUUCUCGAAAAUCAAUUAAAAAUGACUUGGAUUUUGUGUUGUAUUGACCUUUAAUCAGCUUUCUUCACUCUUUUCAUUGUCUUUUUUAAUGCACUUUUCGUUUAACAAGUCAACAUCAAUUUCUUUUGUUGUAAAAGGGUCAUUGGAAGGUGGCUUUCUUUUCGGAGAAAGUGUUUAUAGCCUUUGGCUUCUGCAAUCGGAGAGAUUGAGGUCUGCAGCGUAGAUCCUUCGGGGUUAGAUACAUUUGUGCUAAGUUAUAGCCUUUCAUAGACAACUUGUUGACUAUGAUCAGUCAUGUAGCUUACUCGCUUAUGCUAUUUUACCUACGCUUAGGAUGUUGAUCUCUCACAGUCGAGC